CCUACGGGAGGCAGCAGUGGGGAAUAUUGCUCAAUGGGGGAAACCCUGAAGCAGCGACGCCGCGUGGGGGAAGAAGGUUUUCGGUAUGUAAAGCUCUUUCGGUAGGGAAGAAAAUGACGGUAUCUAAGUAAGAAGCACCGGCUAACUACGUGCCAGCAGCCGCGGUAAUACGGAGGGUGCAAGCGUUAUUCGGAGUUACUGGGGGUAAAGGGGGCGUAGACGGGAGUGCAAGUCAGGUGUGAAAGCCGAGGGCUCAACCAGAGGACUGCAGUGGAAACUGUAAGGCUGGAGUGUAGGAGAGGUAAGUGGAAUUCGUGGUGUAGCGGUGAAAUGCGUAGAGAUCAGGAGGAAUACUCAUGGCGAAGGCGGCUUACUGGAACGUAACUGACGCUGAUGCGCGAAAGCGUGGGGAGCAAACAGGAUUAGAUACCCGAGUAGUC
rnacentral:rRNA from 1 species